rnacentral:misc_RNA from 1 species
UUUUUUUUUUGUUUUUUUUUUUUCUUUUUUUUUUCAGAUGUAUAAAUUCACUUUUCUACAAAGAGGGAAGGCACAACCUGACUUAGGGAAAAAGCAGAAAAUGCUUAAUUUCAUCAUAGCUUUGAAGAGAAUCGGCUCAAGCAAGCUUCAAUUGAUCCAUGUGGUUCAUCUGUUGGCAGAUACACAUCAUCCUCAAACUUAACGAUACUCUGAUUGUCUUUUGUUGAUAUGUUGACAGGUAAGAAGUGGAGAUUUGGCAUUUUCAGCCUCACUGAUGAUAUAACUUGGAACCUGUUGAGGACAUUCUUUGCCAUUUCAUAAAGAGUAUAUUGAACAGAUGGGCUAUAAACUCCCUCUUUUGGAGGACCAAAGAAGGUGUCAACCAAUACUUUUUUCACAUCAAGGUAUGUUUCUGUGAAGUAACUCUGCUUUUUAGGGAUACCACAGAGAGAAUCAAAUGUAUACCUCCAUGAAGCAGACACUUCGGUGGCUAAUAUCCUCUCACGUGUCUCAGGAAGAGCUGUGUACUUAUCCCUAUGAAAUCGCUCAAAACCUGAUUGAGUUGUCUUCAGCAAAGAUAGUCCCUCGAUACCAGAGCUCACUUGUAAAACACCUGACUUCUUAAAUACCACCUCUGCAGUGUGCUUUUCAGAUCCAAGUUUAAAGCCAUGGUUGUGUGGUUGACCAUUGACAGAUACACGCUCCCAUGACUUUUCUGCAAUCUUCACUAUCGCAGUAGUAACCUGCUUGUAAGACAACGUGAAGUGCUUGGCAAGAAGAAUUGCAAAAUCUUCCACUGAAAUUUGAUCAGAACAUUCCUUGGCUUUUGCGUAUACAGUGUUUUUCAUAGUAUCGGUAGCAACGAUAUCGGAGUUAUCAUCGCUAACGUAUGCGGCGACGAUGCCAACGGAGAGGAGACUGAUGCCAACGCUCCAUUCAACGAUAAAAUGACGGCCGUCUUUGGUCCGCCACACCCGAGCCACUCGCACUCGUUCCUUGCCGUGCCUCUGCUCGAAGUUCAAGCCGUCCACUACGAUCACAGCGUCGCUGGGCGCCAUGAAUGUGGGCGGAGAUCAGAUUUGUGCGGUUGAAAUUCGGAGGAGUUGAUUCGGCAGUGAUUUGGAAGAUGGUUUUUGUAGAAGGAAAUCGAUAAUGGUUUUCUAGUC